rnacentral:rRNA from 1 species
UACGUAGGGGGCAAGCGUUGUCCGGAUUUAUUGGGCGUAAAGAGCGUGUAGGCGGUUUGGUAGGUCCGCUGUGAAAACUCGAGGCUCAACUUCGAGACGCCGGUGGAAACCAUCAGACUAGAGUCCGGAAGAGGAGAGUGGAAUUCCUGGUGUAGCGGUGAAAUGCGCAGAUAUCAGGAAGAACACCCGUGGCUAAGGCGGCUCUCUAGUACGGUACUGACGCUGAGACGCGAAAGCGUGGGGAGCGAACAGG